rnacentral:rRNA from 1 species
UACGGGAGGCAGCAGUGGGGGAUAUUGCGCAAUGGGGGCAACCCUGACGCAGCAACGCCGCGUGAAGGAUGAAGGUUUUCGGAUUGUAAACUUCUUUUGUUAGGGACGGAAAUUGACGGUACCUAACGAAUAAGCUCCGGCUAACUACGUGCCAGCAGCCGCGGUAAU